UGUUGACAUGUAAACAUCAAAUCCUGUUUUACAAAAACCUGAGAAAGUUUGUACCCCGGAGAUGGGCUACUGUGGCAUGUAAACCUCUUCUGUUUUUGUGGUAUGCGCAGGCUCCGUUUCGCAUCUCAUGGUUGUCUGAUUGACUCUGUCAAUCAAUUUAAAGUGGGCUACCUGUCCAGUUUGAUCCACCAUAACUGAGCUUAAUGGCUACUUUCACGCCUAAUUUAGACACGUUUCUGCUUACUUACAUUAGGUAAGCCAUUUGUCAACUACAGUUUAAUACAUGCAGCUUCUCUUCUGUCAUAACAUGUUGCCCCAGAAGACUAAAGUAGUGCUCACAAAUGUCUUACGUUGAUAGAAUGAAUGCAUUAGUCAUCUUAACAGGUACAAUUAUUUAAGGACCAGGUAGCAUGCUAAAACACAGUGGAAACAUUGGUCCUGUGCCAAAUGUCAUUGUAACAGGUUUUAAGGAAAUGGAAAGCUGAGAAUGGUAACUUCAGUUAGUCUUGGGUGUGUAUUUUGUGGUUGAAAUGCUGUCUGCUUGCAAAAGUGUCAAAGAUGACACAUUACACGUGCAUUGGCAUUUUCCCCGAGACGCUGAUAGAAAUAUUUAUCCACUCUGUUCCCAAGACAAUUUUGAAGAGAUUUUUAUUUCACUGCAACUGAAGUUAAUAUAAACUCCGCAAAAAAAUAAACAUC